rnacentral:rRNA from 1 species
UACGAAGGGGCAAGCGUUGUUCGGAAUCACUGGGCGUAAAGAGUUCGUAGGCGGUUCAAUUAGUCAGAGGUGAAAGCCCAGGGCUCAACCUUGGAAAUGCCUUUGAUACUGUUGGACUAGAAUCCGUGAGAGGGUGGUGGAAUUUCCAGUGUAGAGGUGAAAUUCGUAGAUAUUGGAAGGAACACCAGUGGCGAAGGCGGCCACCUGGCGCGGUAUUGACGCUGAGGAACGAAAGCGUGGGGAGCAAACAGGAUUAGAUACCCGCGUAGU